UCACUCAACCUUUCUGUCACUAUCUCCUCUAUCGUUUUCUCAUUUCUCUCUAAUUUUUUCUCCUCUAUCUCUAUCUUUUCCUUAUAAACAACCUUAUCGCUUUCAAAGAUAAUGGCUUGACACUCCUCCUUAAAGUUAACUUCAAUACUAACCCUAAAAUCAUCCAAAGAUGCAGUCACAUAACCCAAUCCUAUCUCCUUCCUUUUACAUCAUGCAUAAUUACAUUCUGAAUAGGAGAUGGUAUUCUG
rnacentral:lncRNA from 1 species